rnacentral:rRNA from 1 species
GAUGAACGCUGGCGGCGUGCCUAAUACAUGCAAGUCGAGCGAACGGACGAGAAGCUUGCUUCUCUGAUGUUAGCGGCGGACGGGUGAGUAACACGUGGAUAACCUACCUAUAAGACUGGGAUAACUUCGGGAAACCGGAGCUAAUACCGGAUGAUAUUUUGAACCGCAUGGUUCAAAAGUGAAAGACGGUCUUGCUGUCACUUAUAGAUGGAUCCGCGCUGCAUUAGCUAGUUGGUAAGGUAACGGCUUACCAAGGCAACGAUGCAUAGCCGACCUGAGAGGGUGAUCGGCCACACUGGAACUGAGACACGGUCCAGACUCCUACGGGAGGCAGCAGUAGAGAAUCUUCCGCAAUGGGCGAAAGCCUGACGGAGCAACGCCGCGUGAGUGAUGAAGGUCUUCGGAUCGUAAAACUCUGUUAUUAGGGAAGAACAUAUGUGUAAGUAACUGUGCACAUCUUGACGGUACCUAAUCAGAAAGCCACGGCUAACUACGUGCCAGCAGCCGCGGUAAUACGUAGGUGGCAAGCGUUAUCCGGAAUUAUUGGGCGUAAAGCGCGCGUAGGCGGUUUUUUAAGUCUGAUGUGAAAGCCCACGGCUCAACCGUGGAGGGUCAUUGGAAACUGGAAAACUUGAGUGCAGAAGAGGAAAGUGGAAUUCCAUGUGUAGCGGUGAAAUGCGCAGAGAUAUGGAGGAACACCAGUGGCGAAGGCGACUUUCUGGUCUGUAACUGACGCUGAUGUGCGAAAGCGUGGGGAUCAAACAGGAUUAGAUACCCUGGUAGUCCACGCCGUAAACGAUGAGUGCUAAGUGUUAGGGGGUUUCCGCCCCUUAGUGCUGCAGCUAACGCAUUAAGCACUCCGCCUGGGGAGUACGACCGCAAGGUUGAAACUCAAAGGAAUUGACGGGGACCCGCACAAGCGGUGGAGCAUGUGGUUUAAUUCGAAGCAACGCGAAGAACCUUACCAAAUCUUGACAUCCUCUGACCCCUCUAGAGAUAGAGUUUUCCCCUUCGGGGGACAGAGUAACAGGUGGUGCAUGGUUGUCGUCAGCUCGUGUCGUGAGAUGUUGGGUUAAGUCCCGCAACGAGCGCAACCCUUAAGCUUAGUUGCCAUCAUUAAGUUGGGCACUCUAAGUUGACUGCCGGUGACAAACCGGAGGAAGGUGGGGAUGACGUCAAAUCAUCAUGCCCCUUAUGAUUUGGGCUACACACGUGCUACAAUGGACAAUACAAAGGGCAGCGAAACCGCGAGGUCAAGCAAAUCCCAUAAAGUUGUUCUCAGUUCGGAUUGUAGUCUGCAACUCGACUAUAUGAAGCUGGAAUCGCUAGUAAUCGUAGAUCAGCAUGCUACGGUGAAUACGUUCCCGGGUCU